UUUUGUGAUGCCUUGGAGGCAAUCAGCUGCUUCAAGAUGAAGUUGAAUGUCUCCCUCCCUGCCACUGGCUGCCGGAAACUCAUUGAAGUGGACAAUAAGCUCAAGCUUCGUACUUUUUAUGAGAAGCAUAUGGCCACAGAAGUUACCGCUGACACUCUGAAUGAAGAAUGGAAGGGUUAUGAGGCCUGAAUCAGUGGUGGGAACAACAAACAAGGUUUCCCCGUUAAGCAGGGUGUCUUGACCUAUAGCCAUGUCCACCUGCAGCUGAGUUAGGAGCAUUCCUGUUAUAGAACAAUGAGACCUGGUGAAAGAAAGUGCAAAUCUGUUUAGGGUUGCAUUGUAGAUGCCAAUCUGAGAAUUCUCAACUUGGUUAUUAUUAAAAAAAGAAGAAGGAGGAGGAGGAGGAGGAGGAGGAGAGAAGGAUAUUCCUGGGCUGACUGAAAAGAGCUGGCAGAAUCCACAAAUUUUUCAAUCUCUCUCAAGAAGGUGAUGUCCGCCAAUGAGCUGUAAGAAAGUCCUUUAACAAAGAAGGUAAGAAACCCAGGACCGAAGCACCCAAGAUUCAGUGUCUCGUCACUCCAUGUGUCCUGCAACACAAAUGCUGUCACAUUGCUUUAAAGAAAAAGCAUACUAAGAAAAAUAAGGAAGAGACCACAGAAUAUGCAAAACUUUUGACCAAGAGAAUGAAGGACGUCAAAGAAAAAUGCCAGAAACAGACUGCCAAGAUAUGCAGACUGUCCUCUCCGAGAACUUCUACUUACAAGGCUGAUUCUAGUCAAAAAUAA